rnacentral:lncRNA from 1 species
CCCUUCUCAAGUGAACAUAGGAAAUUUAGUUUCUGAAUAAAUUCUACUCUUUAUGUAAGUAUCUAACUCAAAGAAUCUAUUUUCCUGCUUCAAAUAUACCAUUCUCGAUGAUACAACAGUAGUUCUGAGAACCUACUACAUAAGCAUAAAAACCUUAAUCAUUUCCUAUUCUAAGUAGACAAUUAUAGCUCAUAAUGUCUGAGGUAAAGUCCACUUAAACGUUCCCAUAUAGGAGUACAAACUGAGCUCCCAUCCUCCUCCCUCAACAGGCGUCCUCUUCCAUUCACUCUGACUCAAACCUGAGUCACCUGUGAUCACCCAGUCCCACUGAGUCUCUCAUCUGUUACCCCUCCUUUGCAGUCGCUAUGCCCCUACCUAGCCCUUUCUGUAAUACAAUAAUAUAUGCUGACUGUUAUUUAUCUUUCAGUCUCUUCCCCUCCUCAUCCAUCCUAUGCUUUGUUACCAGGGUAAUAUUCCCCAAACCAUCACUUUCUUUUAGACAACUCCCGCUCUAAAACUUUC